rnacentral:tRNA from 1 species
UGGCUCAAACGGUAAAGCAUCUGCCUGCAAUGCGGGAGACCCAGGUUUGAUCCCUGG